AGCGUCCAGAGAACUCCUAUUCUCACCAAGCGCGUUUUCGUACGUCUGUUAUCUCUCUUCUUUACUGGAUUUAACAUUUGCAUUUAGAUUUUUGCCUUACCGUGAAAUCAAUUUGUCAGGGUUGUCUCAAUAAGGUUAAAGAUCAAAAACAAUUGUCAAAAUUAUAUUUUGCGGCCAAUAAAUAAAGCUCUAACGAUAUAAAGCCCCCCUUAAUGAGUAACAUGAAAAGACCAUAAUCUAAAUUCCUGCGUCACUUUCUCCGACCUGAGCAACAGGCGAUAAUAAGCUAACGCCGAAUCGUGUUUCUUCUACCGGCAAAACUACCGCAAAUACUGUACAGUGCAGCUAAGGAGAUAUAGCUAAGCUCUUUUCCGGUCUUGUGAAGAAUUCACAUUUAAAGAACAGGCGUAAGAUCCCAACAUGAGUUUUUCUAGAGAUGUGAAUGACAUUGCUUUUUGAAAAUUGCUGUAUUAUAGGUAACUAAAAUGUUCUAGCUUCAAGAUUAUGAUCUUAGAAAUUUUAAAGAUUACCAAUUAAGUUGUCGUCUACGUAGCAAGAUGUAAGGUUAAAGUUAGGUGAGCGUGUGGGGGAGGGCGAGGUGGAUUGCAUGUAUAUACAUCUCCCCCUCCCCCACCCCUUUGAAGAAAAAGUUUUUUGGCAUCAAAUAUCAAGUCGAUUCCGGCCUCUCUGAUCCAUUCGUCGACCCUUCCCUUUUUUAAAAAAAUUCUGGAUCCGUUCCAUUCCUAUGCCGCCCUUUACUCAACAACUUUUUUACAGCCUUUGUUAAGGAGAUACCAUGGGAUCUUUAAUGGCUUUCAUAGAUUAUAUACAUGUCCAUCGACAUUUUACAAUUGAAUUAAGACUGCAUGUAAAAUAUUCUAUGGAUCACUUGUAUAUACUGGCUCCUAUUUUAUAUUGUGUUUUUGUGGCUGGCCUGCACUAUUGCAUAUUUAUGUAAUUAUAAAUAUAACCGAUAAAAAAUAAAGGGCUUAUCGAUUGCGAUGAUAGACUAACCGUUACACUAGUCAGGGGCGGAUACAGGGGGGUGGGGUGGGGUGGGGAGUCUAUUUGUUUGAAGAAAAUAAAUGUCUGAGGGGCGGGAGGUACUGUCCAUUUUCCUUCGCCUGCUUGACUUUGCUGACGCGACAAAUCCAAUUCAGCUUAAAGUAUUGUAAGAUCUAUGUAGUGACCUACCAAGAUGCACUGGAUUAGUUAUGAACCGUCUAACCGGCCAUUUCCCACCCCCUCCCCCCCCCCCCAUUUAGAAAUCCUGGAUCCGCCCCUGCUAGUCUAGUUCAGCCUUUGCUAAUGCUACACAUUCUAAGAAUUCCUACCACGCCAAACUAUGAUAUGAGCAUGUUGUUUUGCAAGAAAUCUGCUCAGUGGCAACGCGAAAAACAAAAACAAUAGCUGCCGACUAUCGCCCUGGUGACGGAGGUUCACAUAUCGACCCUUAAGCAGGGUGUGGCAGGCGAUGUACUUGCCCCUUCCUUGCGGGAUGAUAUAAGAUGACCCACAACUUGGGUUGUCGUUACCGUCAUUCACAAGGCUAUCGCCGAUGCGUAUCUCAAAGUUGUCGAGUGAAACGCCACAGCAGUCGGCCCUUAUUUGUAAGCAAUUACCAUAGCAUUAUUAAAAAAAAUGAUAUCUACAAAAAAAAAAAAAAAAAAAAAACAGGUUAAACAUUUGAAUGAGCAGGCCUUAAUUUGAUUAACUAUUUUCCCAAAAAUUGUGGACUACCUGCCAAUUAAAAGUCCGCAAUUUCAGACAACACGCUUGUUUGGUUACUUUGAUCAUGAGAUCAAAAGUAUGUUUUCAUAUAACACACGGAAAAUUUUGGAAAAUUUGUUAUGUGCACAAUUCUGUUGGGCAAACGUUUUUGAUUGGUUGAGCGGUGUGACGUCACUGGCUGCUGUGAACAAAAACGUAUUUGGCGCCAUGGAAACACAGCAUCAAACUUUUGUUUAAGAUUAAAAGAGCCUACAAUAGCAUAUUUUCUAAAAAAAUUCCCCGAUUCGCAUUAAUUAUGUUAAUUAAUGAAUGUUUAUUAAUAUGGAUAUCCAAAA